rnacentral:rRNA from 1 species
GAUGAACGCUAGCGGCAAGCUUAAUACAUGCAAGUCGAGGGGCAGCAUGACUGUAGCAAUACAGUUGAUGGCGACCGGCAAACGGGUGCGGAACACGUACAGAACCUUCCUUCGAGCGGGGAAUAGCCCAGAGAAAUUUGGAUUAAUACCCCAUAGUAUUACGGAGUGGCAUCACUUUGUAAUUAAAGAUUUAUCACUUGAAGAUGGCUGUGCGGCUGAUUAGAUAGUUGGCAGGGUAACGGCCUACCAAGUCUACGAUCAGUAACUGGUGUGAGAGCACGACCAGUCACACGGGCACUGAGACACGGGCCCGACUCCUACGGGAGGCAGCAGUAAGGAAUAUUGGUCAAUGGACGAAAGUCUGAACCAGCUAUGCCGCGUGGAGGAUGAAGGCCCUCUGGGUUGUAAACUUCUUUUAUAUGGGACGAAAAAGGGCCUUUCUAGGUCAACUGACGGUACCAUGUGAAUAAGCACCGGCUAACUCCGUGCCAGCCGCCGCAGUAAAAC